ensembl:lncRNA
UGCAGUUCUAGGGGACACGGUAGCCCUCCCCGCUUUCUGUGUUCUCGUGUGACAGUUUAGUAGAAAUGUGCUCAGCUUGCUGCAUGUCCGUUUCACCUCAGAAAAGCUGUCGGGAGACCUCCUUGUGUCCUUGGGGCGAAGGUACAACCUGCGGCUGCCUACGAUGCAUUUAAAAAAAAUCCUGUCUGGGAGCUUCCCUGAAAGAAUCCACCUGCCCGUGCAGGAGACAUGAGUUGGAUCCCUGGUUCAUGGAGCAACUCAGCUCAUGUGCCAAAGCCACUGAGCCCACAGACGGCAGAGCCCGUGCUCCGCAGCAAGAGAAGCCGCUGCAGCGAGCAGCCGGGCACCACAAGAGGAGGACCCUGCUCCCCGCAACCAGAGGAAAGCCUGGGCAG